CCUUUGCCGCCCGGCCGGACCGGACCGGCACCGGGUACGGGAGUAAACGUAACCGUAACGUAGUCGAACCUACGGCCGGUCGACAGAUGGAUAACCGGGAGAAAUCCCGCCUAAUACAACAUAAUGCCGGGAGGGGACGUCCCCUGCCGGCCAAAGGGGGCGACCCCGGUCACGGAUGGGCAUGCGGCGCAUUAGGUAGUUGGUGGGGCAACGGCCCACCAAGCCGACGAUGCGUAGGGGUUCUGAGAGGAAGGUCCCCCACAUUGGAACUGAGACACGGUCCAAACUCCUACGGGAGGCAGCAG
rnacentral:rRNA from 1 species